GCUAGCUACAGGCUUAACACAUGCAAGUCGAGGGGCAGCAGGAUCUAGCAAUAGAUUGCUGGCGACCGGCGCACGGGUGAGUAACACGUAUCCAACCUGCCGAUAACUCGGGGAUAGCCUUUCGAAAGAAAGAUUAAUACCCGAUGGUAUAAUCAGACCGCAUGGUUUGAUUAUUAAAGAAUUUCGGUUAUCGAUGGGGAUGCGUUCCAUUAGGCAGUUGGUGAGGUAACGGCUCACCAAACCUUCGAUGGAUAGGGGUUCUGAGAGGAAGGUCCCCCACAUUGGAACUGAGACACGGUCCAAACUCCUACGGGAGGCAGCAGUGAGGAAUAUUGGUCAAUGGACGCGAGUCUGAACCAGCCAAGUAGCGUGAAGGAUGACUGCCCUAUGGGUUGUAAACUUCUUUUAUAUGGGAAUAAAGUUUUCCACGUGUGGAAUUUUGUAUGUACCAUAUGAAUAAGGAUCGGCUAACUCCGUGCCAGCAGCCGCGGUAAUACGGAGGAUCCGAGCGUUAUCCGGAUUUAUUGGGUUUAAAGGGAGCGUAGGUGGACAGUUAAGUCAGUUGUGAAAGUUUGCGGCUCAACCGUAAAAUUGCAGUUGAUACUGGCUGUCUUGAGUACAGUAGAGGUGGGCGGAAUUCGUGGUGUAGCGGUGAAAUGCUUAGAUAUCACGAAGAACUCCGAUUGCGAAGGCAGCUCACUGGACUGCAACUGACACUGAUGCUCGAAAGUGUGGGUAUCAAACAGGAUUAGAUACCCUGGUAGUCCACACAGUAAACGAUGAAUACUCGCUGUUUGCGAUAUACAGUAAGCGGCAAGCGAAAGCAUUAGUAUUCCACGUGGGAGUACGCGGGCAACGGUGAACUCAAAAGGAAUUGACGGGGGCCGGCACAAGCGAAGGAACAUGUGGUUAAUUCGAUGAUACGCGAGGACCUUUACCCGGGCUUAAAUUGCAUUUGAAUAAUCUGAAAACAGGUUAGCGNCAAGGCAAAUGUGAAGGUGCUGCAUGGUNGUCGUCAGCUCGUGCCGUGAGGUGUCGGCUUAAGUGCCAUAACGAGCGCAACCCUUAUCUUUAGUUACUAACAGGUCAUGCUGAGGACUCUAGAGAGACUGCCGUCGUAAGAUGUGAGGAAGGUGGGGAUGACGUCAAAUCAGCACGGCCCUUACGUCCGGGGCUACACACGUGUUACAAUGGGGGGUACAGAAGGCAGCUACCUGGUGACAGGAUGCUAAUCCCAAAAGCCUCUCUCAGUUCGGAUCGAAGUCUGCAACCCGACUUCGUGAAGCUGGAUUCGCUAGUAAUCGCGCAUCAGCCAUGGCGCGGUGAAUACGUUCCCGGGCCUUGUACACACCGCCCGUCAAGCCAUGAAAGCCGGGGGUACCUGAAGUACGUAACCGCAAGGAGCGUCCUAGGGUAAAACUGGUAAUUGGGGCUAAG
rnacentral:rRNA from 1 species